UGUGUAGGCGGUUCUUUAAGUUUGGUGUGAAAUCUCCCGGCUUAACCGGGAGGGUGCGCCGAAUACUGAGGGACUAGAGUACGGGAGAGGAAAGUGGAAUUCCUGGUGUAGCGGUGAAAUGCGUAGAUAUCAGGAGGAACACCGGUGGUGUAGACGGCUUUCUGGACCGUAACUGACGCUGAAACACGAAAGCGUGGGUAGCAAACAGGAUUAGAUACCCUGGUAGUCCACGCCCUAAACGAUGCAUAUUUGGUGUGGGCAGUUCAUUCUGUCCGUGCCGGAGCUAACGCGUUAAAUAUGCCGCCUGGGGAGUACAGUCGCAAGGCUGAA
rnacentral:rRNA from 1 species